UUUAUAAUUCUAAUAGACCAUAUAUAAAUAUAUAAUUUUUUAAAUAAUUAUUGCUUACUAUUUAAUCGAUUUAUGUGAUCAUAUUUUGAACCGGCCCAAUUUGGAACUGAAAGUUUUUAUUAAUUUUAUCGAGUAUUAAUUUAUAAAUUUUCUACUGUAUAUACUUUGGAAAAUAAUUAGCUUAAUAUUUUUUUUUCAACAAUUAGUUUAAUAUUUCAACUUUGGAAAAUUACCACGGUUAAUGUAAAAAAAUCCCAGUGACUCACUGCUUACGUGGAUAGAACAGGGACCCACAUAAAACAGAUUUUCUCACUCUCUCUCUCCCCUGUCCGAAUCAAAAUCCGGUGAUCCGAAGCGGAGGGAAUAAAAUAUCAUUGGUGGACUUAUAGUCGAGUUCUCCCCAAGUUUUCUGAAUCGGGCGGGUGGCGAUUUGACCGUCCGCGAUGGCGGAGUUAGGGAUGAAUCGUUCAUUUCACUCAAGGAGCUCGUGGAAAAGGCUAAGUCCACGGAGCUUUCUGAUACUGAUAAGAAGUUUAGCAUCUUGAAGUAUAUCGUCAAGACUCAGUAGCGGAUGCUUCGGCUCAAUGCGCUUGCGUGUAAACAGAGAAUCUUUACCUGCGAACGUUCUGAAACUUAACAUAUUUAAGGAGCACCGGUUUUCCCUGUAAAUGGAUUGCAACAGAGACGUCUCAAGACAAAUGGCCAAAACAUGUCAUUAAAUGAAUAAAAGUUAAGAGUUUUCAGUUCUCGCAUUAAGGGGUUUUUGUUUGUUGUAUUUGAAUAGAUUUGAAAAUCCGAACUAAAUCUAGUGUUAUUGGUUCUGUGAUUUUAAAAUCUGUAUUAAAAUCAUGUGUUAUUGGUUUAAUGAUUCAUAAAUUCUAUAUUAAAUUAAGUGUUAUUUAAUCAUACGGAUUUACUAAUA